AGGUAGGUAGUUCAGCCAGUCAGAAUACAGAGCUUGGAAGCCUGAGGACCCAGGUUCAAUUCCUGCCCCCACUU
rnacentral:tRNA from 1 species